GGCCCAGGAUGGGCAUGUCGUCUGAGGAGUGGGAGGGAAUGUUGAACUCGUUCGCUACUGGGACGUGCAGUCGUUUGUCACAAACCGAGCGUGGGUGUUUCACAAAAAGCGGUCUCUGGGCCUCCGUUUGGUUUCCCUGACAUUGAGGAGCAAACAUUGGGAACAGCGGAUAAAAUCGACCACAUUUGGGGAUGUGCAGCUGCAGUCUUCCGGGUCCGUCUUGCCUCCGCUGCUGCUCGCACUCAAAAUGGCCGUUGGCGUCGAAGGGUGAGUAUUUAUACUCACUGCUUUCCUUCCCGGCUGCCCCUCUGGUCCUCGUCACUUCCUCCGCUGCUCCCGCUCCUUCUCUGAAAGAGGAAAAACACCGCUGCCCGCUACUGAUCCAAUGACUUCAUUCCACAGGGACAAAGCUUCCAAUUUGUACCAGGUUAACUCUGGCCUACUCUUUUCUUUAGAAAAGAGUUUGAUGCUAUUCAGUCUUUACUGGCAAUUACAACCUGCAUUGUGUAAGAUUUGUGAAUGACCCUUUAUUUUCCCAAUCCUUGUGAGUGAUGCCAGCAGCAGAAAUAUUUCCUAAUCUGCAAGUGAUUUUGGUUGGGAAAUCUCUAUUUACAAAUUCACUCUUAUCCUCAAAUAGACUGUGUAAACCAUAAAAGGUCUGAGCACAAACCCACAAAAACACGAAGGCAGCAUGACAGCCUGAGCUGAAUGAACCUGGUGAUGUGUGAGCUGUCAUGAGGAAAACAUGACCAUGAGCACAACUGGUUAGAAUCACAUCCCUACAGUGCAGAAAGAGGUCAUUCGGCCCAUCACUAUACUGACCCUCUACUCCCAUAACUCAGCAUUUACCAGGGUUAACCCAACCACUUAACCUGCACACUAGGGGGCAACCUAGCAUGGCUUGUCCACCUAACCUGCACAUUUUUGGACUCUGAAAGGAUCACAGCUUAGCUAUAAUGACGCAAAUUUUUGAAUGAAGAAUAAAAAAAACUCAAUGUUGAAACAAUUUCACAGUUUUUGUUUUAAAAAUAAAAUCUAGGGAAAGCUGCGCCACAAAGAUUUCAGAUUUUCUCUGGAGGAAGAGAAUUCAAAACUCGUGCCACUGACGCGGGGGCACAGUGAGGUCACAGAGGGCUGGCACCCAUCAGAAAUGUAAAAGGUAUUGAGCAAGGUAGGGGUGAGAGAGGGGCAAAAAGGCAGUCUGUCACGGGGGAAGGCAGGAGAGAUUAAAUUGCAGAAAUGUUAUUAGUUUUUCAUGGCCACAAAGAUUGGAGUUAGGCCUCAAAAAAAAACAACAAAAGAUGUGCCUGUGCUGGGUGUGUAGAAGACACAGAAACAAAUUGAAACGAGAAAUGCAAACAAAUAGGGGCAGAGUUCACAGCCUGAAAUUGCUCUUCUCAAUGGUGAAUCCAGAAAGCUGCAAACCUGUGUGUUUCAAUCUCAACCAACACAAACAUGAUGGGCCAAAUAAUACUGGCCAGCCAGCGACACCCACAUCUCACAAAUAAAUUUUUAAAAAUGGUCUUGGUCUGUGCUGGAAUGUUCUGAUACUUUUGUUUUGAAAUUUGGAGUUUGUUUCUGACGAUGUUUAUAACCUCUCAAAUUGGGCUAAAGUUUAACAUUCUAGGGAAAUGUAAAAUAAAUCAGCUUUGUUUCAAACA